UGAGACUGUACAUAGUCUGUCCCUAUUUCCCAUGUUUUAGGCCACGCCCCAUUCUCUGACUGUCAAAUGAGCAUCAAGCAGACGCCCACUGACUAAGUGGCUGUUAUGGCCCUUCCGUUUCGUUGUGAUCGCGGUUGAGUCUUCACAGCAGCGCGUCGAGGGUUGAAACAGGUUCAGCUCUGUCCUCUGACAAUCAGCUCAUUUAACAAAAACGAACAUUGAGGAAGUACCCCUCUAUGAGCAAAUGUGGAAACUAUGACGACAAAAGAGGAAAUAUGAUGAGCGAUAGAGCCACGAGGAGGCUCAAGACAAGGGCUGCAUAGUGAUAGUUCCUCAAUAGUCUCCUCUCCUUAAAUCAUAUUCACUCAUCUAGAAAAUAAAGGUGGCGACACACAUCUCUGUGUGCCUGGCAGAUAUCUCAGCUUGGAUAUCGGUCAAUCACCUCAAGCUCAACAAGAUGGAUCUGCGCUUCCUCUUGGGGAAGGCGAACCCACUCCAAGACCUCUCCAUCAUGGUUGACAACUCCACGGUGUCCCCCUCCCAGAGUACAAAGAACAUUGGCGUGACCCUGAACACCCUGUCGUUCUCUGCAGACAUCAAAGCAGUGACCUGCUCCUGUAGGUUCAUGCUCUACAACAUCCAUAGAGUACAACCUUACCUCACACAUGAAGUGGUGCAGGUCCUUAUCCACGCACAUGUCCUCUCCCGUCUGGACUACUGCAACUUGCUGUUGGCUGGGCUCACCGCUUGUGCCAUUAAACCCCUGUAACUUACUACUAGACCAUCCACUAUUAGACUAUGGUACUUUCCCUACAAAGCAGCAAGAAGAAAUUCCCCUCCUUCCUUCAGGCUAUGCUCAAAUUUCUUGAACUGCAUAGUUGUUUAAGGGCUUCUAAGUAAGCAUUUCACAGUAAGGUCUACACCGGUUGUAUUCGGCGCAUGUGACAAAUAAAAUUUGAUACCCUACAACCCAAA